rnacentral:misc_RNA from 1 species
GUCGCGCGUGUCAAUGGGCCCGCCAAUCGAAACCUUCUCUCUGUCAGUCAGUGCCCGCGCGUUGCUCAUGUAACAUCGUGAUAUUUUUACCUUGCGUUUAUUCUCCACAAUCCUUGGAUAAAUCCUCGAUUGCUUUAUUUUUUCCAGUAUUACGUCAAUGAUAUCAUGAAUGAUAAGAGGAAAGAAACAACCUUGGGACGAUCUAUAUCUACUAGAGUGGCUAGAGAAUAAAUAACAGCGGCAAAAUGUUGAUAAAAGAAUAUCGAAUACCGCUGCCUCUUACCGUAGAAGAAUAUAGAAUUGCUCAGCUUUACAUGAUAGCGAAAAAAUCUAGAGAAGAAAGUCAAGGAGCAGGCAGCGGUGUAGAAAUAAUAGUAAAUGAACCCUAUAGUAAUGGUCCAGGAGGAAAUGGGCAAUAUACUCAUAAAAUUUAUCAUGUGGGCAGUCAUCUUCCAGAAUGGUUCAAGAGUUUGUUACCUAGAUCCGCAUUAAUCGCCAAGGAAGAAGCAUGGAAUGCUUAUCCUUACACAAAAACUCGUUAUACUUGUCCUUUUGUUGAAAAGUUUUCUAUCGAAAUAGAAACGUACUAUUUUCCUGACAAUGGUUACCAAGAAAAUGUCUUCAAACUCAGUGGUAGUGAUUUGAGAAAUAGAAUUGUAGAUGUAAUUGACAUUGUAAAGGAUCAAUAUACGGGUGACUAUGUGAAAGAAGAGGAUCCUAAAUUAUAUGUGUCUCAGAAAACUAAUCGAGGACCUCUUACGGAAUCAUGGCUAGAAGAAUACUGGGCUGAUGUAAAAGGAAAGCAACAACCGACAUCAUCCGGAAAAUCGUUAAUGUGUGCAUACAAGUUAUGCCGUGUAGAGUUCCGUUAUUGGGGUGUACAAACCAAAUUAGAAAAGUUUAUACAUGAUAUAGCUUUGCGAAAAACCAUGGUUAGAGCUCAUAGACAAGCUUGGGCUUGGCAAGAUGAAUGGAACGGUUUGACCAUGGAAAAUAUUCGAGAAAUUGAACGACAAACACAAUUGGCAUUGCAAAAGAGGAUGGCUAACGCAGAGGACGGUGAAGAAUCCCCGAACGACAAUCAAGAGAAAUCUAUUUCCAAUACGACGAUGACUCCUCAAGAAUCAGAUGUUGCUAUGACGUUGGCUGCCACACUUGGAAGCAUCGAGAAAAAUGAAGAUUUCCAAAGUCCCACAAGUGCUAGAAAAUCAUCUGAUAUACCAAUGACAAAUACAGCUAUCAGUUCGGAAGGUGAAGUUAGUCCCGAAGAUUCGCCGACUGAAGUACCCGAGCUUAGAAAUGCUCCUGAAGAAAAAGCAGAUGCAAAGAAGUCAUGGAAGAAGAAUAAAGCGGCAAUGAAUUCGCCAUGCUCGAAUAAAAAUUUUGAUAUGCAAAUAGCAAAUUGGCGCAUGGAAAGUAUCGUGAGAGAAUCCGAAUCUGAUAGUGAAGAUGAGUUUUUUGACUGCCAAGCUGGGUUCAUUAUACCUAUUAUAUGCGAAGAAGAGGACGACAAUACGUUCACUUCGUCCACUAUGGCAAACAAAGAAGACGACACAAUAUUUUCACCUUCAUAUCUACAACGAAUGGCUAGUGAACGUAGCAGUAAAAGAUUGCAAAUUUCUACUUCAGCCAGUAUUGAUGUCUCAUAUCCAGCUUCACCUCAACAUUCUCCAACCCAUCAACCAUGCAAAACUACUGUUCUUCUUAUUGUAAUGCAUGCAGGAAGUGUAUUAGAUGCUAAUGUUGAUUUAACAGCGAAAAAAUCAGAUAUCACAACUUUCAAAGGAGCCUUCGAAUCUGUAAUGAGACAACGUUAUUCCAGUAUGGUCGGACAUGUUGCUAUUAAGUUCGUUUCCUGUCCAUCAAUUUGCACUGAAGGUCUUGGUAUUUUAUCGAGUUUAAGUCCCUAUAGUUUCGAUGUUUCACCUUCCUCUGUGGAUACUCCUCAAGUAACACACGAUACUAUUCCAAUCGGCGCUAUACCUCUGCUUGCUAGUUCUACUUCUGAAUAUCAGGAUGCUGUCUCACGAGUUAUAGCAGGAGCGAAUCAAGUUUAUCAUGAUUUUAUCAAAAGCGAAGAAGGUCGUGGUUUUACGGGACAGAUUUGCUUUAUUGGAGAUUCAGUAGGAGCGAUUUUAACAUAUGACGCUUUGUGUAGAUCUGUUCAUUCUAGACAUAAUAGCGAGAACAAUAUUUUGGAUAAUCAAGGCAUUGAGAAUAGCAUGAACACUGAAAAUGGCAAACACUUGACUGCACCUUCUCCUAGAAGGAAAUCUUCUAGUACAUGUGAGGGUUCACAUUCUAAAUUGGAUUUUGAUGUAGGAGAAUUUUUCAUGUUUGGUAGUCCACUUGCUCUAGUAUUAGCAUAUAGAAAAAUUUCUGCGGAUAAAUCUACUAAUAUAAAAAGACCAUUGGUGAAUCAAUUAUAUAACUUAUUUCAUCCUACUGAUCCAGUAGCCGCUAGAUUAGAACCACUCAUUUCUGCAAGAUUUUCUCUUCUUCCGCCUGUGAAUAUAGCUCAAUAUCAAAAGUAUCCAUUAGGAAAUGGGCAGCCUUAUCAUUUGUUGGAAGCUAUUCAAACAAAUCCACAAUUAUUUACGGAUGGAUUAAACAUUCCAAAUAUGUCAAUGUCCCAUUUGAGACGAUUGUCCGAUAUAUCGAUUCACAGUACGAUGUCUGGUGUAGUUGACAAUGUUCCUUUGCAAGUAAUAUCAAAUUUAACACAAAAAUGGUGGGGUACAAAGAGAUUAGAUUAUGCUCUCUAUUGCCCUGAGGGUUUAGCAAAUUUUCCUACAAAUGCUUUACCUCAUCUUUUUCACGCCAGUUAUUGGGAAUCUUUUGAUGUUAUUGCAUUUAUUCUACGACAAUUAGGCAGAUUUGAUUUACCAUUACUCGCAAAUGAAGAGAAAGAAUUAACUUGUUUCCGUCCAGGUCAACCUAGAGAGAAGUGGAAUAAGAAACGUACUUCUGUUAAACUUAAGAAUGUUGCUGCCAAUCAUAGAGCAAAUGAUGUAAUUGUUAGAGAAGGAGCACCUCAAGUGCUGAUUGCUAGAUUUAUGUAUAGUCCAAUUGACGUUAUUGCUUUAACUGGCGAAAAAGUGGAUAUUCAUAUUAUGAAGGAUGCUCCUGCAGGGGAAUGGACAUAUUUAUCAACUGAAAUAACUGAUAAGAAUGGUAGAAUAACAUAUAAAAUACCUGAUGAUAAAGCAUUGGGAUAUGGUCUUUAUAAUAUUUGGUUUUCAGAGGUGAUCAUACAUUCGUAGAUUUCUUCUUGACUGUGAUCCCACCAAAAACAGAAUGCGUAGUAUUUAGUAUAGAUGGCUCAUUUACUGCGAGUAUGUCUGUAAGUGGAAAAGAUCCGAAAGUUAGAGCUGGAGCUGUUGAUAUUGUUAGGCAUUGGCAAGAACUGGGAUACUUAAUUAUAUAUAUUACCGCAAGACCUGAUAUGCAA